GGGGUUGUGGCUUAGUGGUAGAGCACUUGCCUAGCAAGUGUGAGGCACUGGGUUCGAUUCUCAGCACCA
rnacentral:tRNA from 1 species